CUACGGGGCGCAGCAGUGGGGAAUCUUGGACAAUGGGCGCAAGCCUGAUCCAGCCAUGCCGCGUGAGUGAAGAAGGCCUUAGGGUCGUAAAGCUCUUUCGCCAGAGAUGAUAAUGACAGUAUCUGGUAAAGAAACCCCGGCUAACUCCGUGCCAGCAGCCGCGGUAAUACGGAGGGGGUUAGCGUUGUUCGGAAUUACUGGGCGUAAAGCGCGCGUAGGCGGAUUAGUCAGUCAGAGGUGAAAUCCCAGGGCUCAAACCUGGAACUGCCUUUGAUACCGCUAGUCUUGAGUUCGAGAGAGGUGAGUGGAAUUCCGAGUGUAGAGGUGAAAUUCGUAGAUAUUCGGAGGAACACCAGUGGCGAAGGCGGCUCACUGGCUCGAUACUGACGCUGAGGUGCGAAAGUGUGGGGAGCAAACAGGAUUAGAUACCCUUGUAGUC
rnacentral:rRNA from 1 species